GCAAACUUAAUCAUAGUGUGCAGACUAGAGGUCAAAAAAAUAUUUCCAUAUACAUUUAUUUUUAAAAAAAGCCAAAAGUUGACAUUUCCUUCAAAUGGAGAAUGCAGCACUUUCAUACAGACGCAUUUAGAUACAUCCAUUAAGAGAAAGCUGAGCCAAGUAAUAUUGCAGCCCACAAUAUGAUUAUGGACAAGAACUAAACAUAACAGGAUAUCAUUUUGCAUCAUUUGCCUCUGGCAUUUGCCAGUCUAGAAUACUAUUAGCUAACUGCCAUAGAAUAAAAGUUUGACCAUGCCAGCCCGAGUAUGAAACUUGAAGAUGAACUCAAAUAAACAAUAAAUGGAAGGCACAAAAGACAUCAAAUGCAUCAAAACAGAUAUCAUAAAUGCCUAGCAAAUAGAAGUGAACAUGGAUUUAAAGUACCAUCUCA
rnacentral:misc_RNA from 1 species